rnacentral:lncRNA from 1 species
UUACAGUCUCCCUACUGGGUUGUGGCACACUAUGGCUGAUUCCUUCUUUAGCUUCCUUUUAGUGCCCAUUAUCCAACCUCUCUAUCCUCCUCACUCUCCUUCCUUCCUGGCCUCUUGUGACCUCUCUUCUAAUCUCUACUUCUGUGUCAACUCUUUUAGCUUUGUGGACUGAUGUUAUAUCUUUUCUUUUUUCUUUUUUUUUUUGGGUACCAGGAAUCGAACUUGGGACCUUGCACUUGUGAGGCAAGUGGCAGAACCAUUGAGCUAAAUCCUCGGCCCUGGACUAAUGUUAUUUCAAAAACAAACUCUCAGUACUGGAGUUACUGGAUCAAAGGGGCAGGAACCCGAGGUGCUCCAGGUGAUUCAGGGCUGGGUGUGGUCCUCACGGAGCAAGUCGCAGCGGGGUCAAGAGAAUGGCGAGAGACUUCACUGGACAAGGACUGGAAGGCACCUAUGGAGGGGACAGGUGAGUGCUCAGCAGAGUUGCUGGGCUCCAAGGGCCGUCUUCACCAAGGUCCUGGGUCUAGGUAGGUGGCAUUUCGCAGGAUCCUGUGGUCAUCCAGCUGCACACAGCCUCCAAGGCCCUGAAUUGGCCAUUGUGACUAGGAACUGGGGCUUGAAUUUUACCUUAUGUCAAAAAUCUCCCGAUUUUAAGAUCUGAUUCUUGGCUCAGUUACUGGAAAGCUUGCAAAUUUUUUUGAAAUAGCCCUGGUGUGCGAAUCUACUUUUCUCCAAUGAAGGUUUGCAUUUGUCUUAAGAUGUGCUGUGAGCAUAAAAUGCACACCAAAUUUCAGAAUAGUACUCCACAAAAAGUAUUUUGUCAAUUAUCAUAGUGCAUCAAAAUGGUAUACCUUUGA